UGCAACCUGAGCUCAGGCGUGACUACCCGCUGAACUUAAGCAUAUCAUUUAGCGGAGGAAAAGAAACUAA
rnacentral:rRNA from 1 species